rnacentral:rRNA from 1 species
UACGGGGGGAGCAAGCGUUGUUCGGAUUUACUGGGCGUAAAGGGCGCGUAGGCGGCCUACUAAGUCGGACGUGAAAUCCCCGGGCUUAACCCGGGAACUGCGUCCGAUACUGGUUGGGCUUGAGUCCGGGAGAGGGAUGUGGAAUUCCAGGUGUAGCGGUGAAAUGCGUAGAUAUCUGGAGGAACACCGGUGGCGAAGGCGGCAUCCUGGACCGGUAUUGACGCUGAGGCGCGAAAGCCAGGGGAGCAAACGGG